GGGCCAUGCAGGACGAGGCACAGAGCAGGAUGCAGCCAAGGAUGACUUGCCGGCCGGCUGGCCGGCAAUGUCGCCGCCGGCGUGACAUGAUGCUUGCCCGGCAAGUUUGUCCUUGGCUACACCUUGCUCUCUGCCCAUCAUGUGUUGCCCU